AUGAACGCUGGCGGCGUGCCUCAUACAUGCCAGUCGAGCGCACGGACGAGAAGCUUGCUUCUCUGAUGUUAGCGGCGGACGGGUGAGUAACACGUGGAUAACCUACCUAUAAGACUGGGAUAACUUCGGGAAACCGUAGCUAAUACCGGAUAAUAUUUUGAACCGCAUGGUUCAAAAGUGAAAGACGGUCUUGCUGUCACUUAUAGAUGGAUCCGCGCUGCAUUAGCUAGUUGGUAAGGUAACGGCUUACCAAGGCAACGAUGCAUAGCCGACCUGAGAGGGUGAUCGGCCACACUGGAACUGAGACACGGUCCAGACUCCUACGGGAGGCAGCAGUAGGGAAUCUUCCGCAAUGGGCGAAAGCCUGACGGAGCAACGCCGCGUGAGUGAUGAAGGUCUUCGGAUCGUAAAACUCUGUUAUUAGGGAAGAACAUAUGUGUAAGUAACUGUGCACAUCUUGACGGUACCUAAUCAGAAAGCCACGGCCAACUACGUG
rnacentral:rRNA from 1 species